UGCGUAGGCGGAAUGAUCAGUCAGUGGUGAAAUACCUCGGCUCAACCGAGGAACUGCCAUUGAUACUGUCAUUCUUGAGUACACUUGAAGUGGGCGGAAUGUAUCAUGUAGCGGUGAAAUGCAUAGAUAUGAUACAGAACACCGAUAGCGAAGGCAGCUCACUAAAUUGUAACUGACGCUAAGGCACGAAAGCGUGGGGAGAAAACAGGAUUAGAUACCCUGGUAGUCC
rnacentral:rRNA from 1 species